CCAUGGCAAGUUCUCCCAGCACUGGAAGACAGUGGUCUGAUUCUGUCUGAAAGCAAGAGCAAGAAUCAAGAGAGCAGACACAAUCCUCUAAAAUCCUUUUUGGCAUCAGCUGCCAUGUCGGCUAAGUGAUAUUAGUGCCCACUCCUGCAAGCUGUCAAUAUUUCCUAGUAACAGCACCCGGCACUUUGCUAACCAUCAGCUGUAGAGCAUCCUGGCCAACCUGGAAGCAAAGACUCCAAUGUCACUGAGCCUAUGAGUGCCUGGAAUGAGAAACUGAUCUUAAUCAGAGGGACCCCAAUACAUUUUCCUUC
rnacentral:lncRNA from 1 species